rnacentral:rRNA from 1 species
UACGUAGGUGGCGAGCGUUAUCCGGAAUUACUGGGUGUAAAGGGCGUGUAGGCGGCACUGUAAGUCAGAUGUGAAAUCUCCCGGCUCAACCGGGAGCGUGCAUCUGAUACUGCAGUACUUGAGUGAUAGAGGGGAAAGCGGAAUUCCUAGUGUAGCGGUAAAAUGCGUAGAUAUUAGGAGGAACACCAGUAGCGAAGGCGGCUUUCUGGACUGUAACUGACACUGAGGCACGAAAGCGUGGGUAGCAAACAGG